rnacentral:lncRNA from 1 species
AAUAAGUGGUUUUUAUUUCAUUUUUGGACUCCUUUUUCACCCCUAACAAAUAUCUAAUAUCCUACUAUAACAGAAACUAGGAUUUGCCAUUUAAGAUAUAACAGUUGCGUCCCAUAAACCGAGAGAGAGAGAGAGAGAGUUUUGAUUUCACCUCCUCUAACACAAGCUGCCACACCACUUGGAUCUUCUUCUUCCCAACACCAAUACCACCAUACACAAAACCUUAUUCUAAC